rnacentral:lncRNA from 1 species
CAAAAGUCACGGAAUCAAGCUAGAAAAAUUCCACAAAAUUCGGCCAAGCUUGAAACUCAUGAUCCCGACGUCCAAUUUCACCCAAUGAACCACUCCGAGCUUCCUUAGGACCUCCUAAAGCUUCCUAUAAGCUUCAAAUUCCCUGAAAAACAAUAUUUCACGUAUGCAUGAAUAGUGACAACAUCGGUGGUUCAUGAUUCAACGUGAAAUCGAAGGAUUCCUUACCUAUAAAUGGUACCAAUUGAUUCGUCUGAGAUUCAUGAACACAAUGGUUCCCUUUUCCACUUCGAUCCAUCACGUUUACAAGGGUUUUGGCUCUCGUCCAUACAAGAGAGAAGAGAGAGAGAGUGUGUGUGUGUGAGUCUGAGAGAGAGGGCACGGGAGUGAGAGAGAGAAAGUGAGGUGUAGUGUGUGGUCCAAAAGUCACCAAUCAAAACAAACAAUUCUCCAACUUCCAUUUCGGUCCAAAAACUUAGGAAUUAAACAUAUUAGUCUAAUUUCCAACUUAAACCACAUAUCAUAAAACGUCCAAGGGCAAACUCGUCUUUUCACACCAACGAUAAUUAUUUCUUGGGACGGGUUGUCACAGCUUCAAUAUGAGGAUUUAGGUGUUUAUGAUUGUAAAAAAUAAUUGGAUGAAGAUAUACUUGUCAGAAGAAUUAGAAAGUACCUAUGUUGAUGCAGAUAUGUGUACAUGUCUGAGCGUCAAAGAAUCCAAAAGAAAUGCAUAAAUAUGUUGUUGAGACUCUGUAUAAUGAUAAUUAGGCUUGAAUAAAUAAUAGAGAUGACGAAAGAUGCUCUAAGAGAAGGGAUAAAUUUUGGUUGUCUGUCAGCUAGUUUGAUGAAGAUAUGGUGAGUUUUGGGAAUCAAAUUAAGAUGGAGAAGGGAGCAAAUGUAUUAAUAAUAUCGUUUGUACAUAAGGAGAGUAAUUUUCAGUGGGUAAGCUUAAUGUUAUGAAGAAAAAUAAUUGAGGAGCUGAGGAUUUUAAAAAAAAUGCAGCCGAUCAAGAAUGGAUGAUGAAUACAAUUGAUGUUAAGCUUUUGAACAAGUAUUGCAUUGAUGGAAAUUGAUGGUAUUAUCCCUAGAAGAAAUAAAAGCUUAUUUUUGAGGAUGCUUGGUGAUGAAAAUACUAGCAAAUGAGCUAAAGGAAAUAAAAAUCACAAAUAUACACUUUUGGUGAUAUAUGUAUAAAGAAAAGGUGAAAGACAAUAGAUAAAAGGAAGGUAAGAGUGCCAUAAUUUGGUAAUUUCAAAUUUCAUAGGGUUGAAUAAGAGAUUGGCCUGUUAAAUUUGGACGCUGCUACUUGACUGGGGUUGAAAUUACUGGAAUGAGAUUUGAGAUUAUGUUGUCUUGUGGUAGAAUUCAAAUAGAAGAAAAAGAAUUAAGUUAUUCAUACACGUAAAGACUAGCCCUGACCCGGGACGAGUACCAACACCAAUGUAGAACAUGAUGAGAAAAUAACAUAAAUAUGAUCUUGCAGUAGUAAAUUGAUAAUUCUAGUCGACAUAAUAUUAUUCAUGGUCCUAAAUAUAAUUAAGGCAUCCCAUAAUAGUACGCAUACCUAUGCAUCCCGUAGGAUUCAGAAUAAUUUCAUAAUUCUCAACAUUACGACAUUUCUUAUAAAUGUUAAAUUAAUUAUAGAAUCACGUAGAAAAUGCAUUAUAUAUAUUUAUAUGUAUGUGUGUGUGUGUGGAAACUAAACAAAUAUAUAUACAAUAUAAAAGAAAACACUCACUCACAAAUACUUUCAAGGUCACAACCUUUCGAACUAGGAAAAUCGAAGUCUCCGAUAGUAAUCGCACCUAAGUAUAAUAUUGGGACCCAUUAGUAAAACUCAACUAAAAUGAUUAAAUUUGGGAAAAUGGAGCGCAUAUUUGUAAUCAAAACGUGGAAAUACCUUAAGGAGGGUCCCGGGUAAAUUUUAUAAAAAGUCAACAGAAAGUCAAUGGUCAACCAAAAAGUUAAUCGAGCCACCUCAGCAGUCAACUACCUUAAAACUUUGAAAUUUCACUAAAUAGAUGCCAAAAAUGGACUCCGGUAAUUGAAAUUAGCCUAGGAGGGUUUCCGAAUUUUUUUUGAAAAAGUCGACUAACGGUCAACAAUUAACUUUAACGAAAUAUUUCAUCCUCAGAUAGAAUAUUUUGUUAAAGUUAACUGGGAAUUAACAAAAUAUUCCAAGGGAAUAUUCCCUCAAGAUUUCUAAAUAGGUUUGGGUCAGCUGGGUUGGAUCUGGGUUCAGAUUCGGGUUUAGGCUUUUUUUGUAUCUGGUUGGGUUGACCUAUUUAGGCUCGUGGGUUUCACCGACCAAACCCAAUGAAGAAGAAGAAGGCCGGAUUCUGAAGGGAUUUGGCCGGUAAACUUCCUGAGCUCUGUUCGAGCUCAAAUCUCAAUCAUUUUCAAUGAAACAAAAGUCAAAAUGAAGGUCAUGAGGAUAAGACUCGAAAUAUACCGAUCUAGGGUUGGGUUGUGAUCGAAGUUGGCUGGAAAUGGCCUGCAAAACUCGGGCUCCUAGCCGAAAAACUAGGGAAAAGCAUCCCUGCGUGGUUUAUGUCCCCAAACCUUACAAACACAGGCCUAUUACCUCAAAAUCUUUCACAAACGACGAAAAAUGACGAGAGAUAGGGUUCCCGAGGCCUACCUUGGUCCGAAAAUCGUGAAGUCUCGUUGGUAAAUAUGGAGGUCGAGUUCUAGGGUUCAAGUUCGCCACCUGAUUCUUGACUUCUAUAUUUGGACAUUGGUAAGCUUGAUGAGUGGUGAGGCUAGAUGGUGGUAAUGCGACUUGCCAUGGAAGUGGUGGCACAGUGAGGAUCUCCGCCUCACAGUCGU